AUUGAACGCUGGCGGCAGGCCUAACACAUGCAAGUCGAACGAGAGGCGGACGGGUGAGUAAUGGCUGGGAAAGUGCCUGAUGGAGGGGGCUAACUGAGGGAAACGGUAGAUAAUACCGCAUACAAUCCGAUGUGCCCAGAUGGGAUUAGCUUGUUGGUGGGGUAACGGCUGACUAAGUCGACGAUCCCUAGCUGGUCUGAGAGGAGGACCAGCCACAUUGGAAUUGAGCCACGGUCCAUACUCCUACGGGAGGCAGCAGUGGGGCAUAUUGCACAAUGGGCGCAAGCCUGAUGCAGCCAUGCCGCGUGUAUGAAGAAGGCCUUCGGGUUGUAAAGUACUUUCAUCUGGGAGGCGUUACCCGCAGAAGAAGCACCGGCUAACUCCGUGCCAGCAGCCGCGGUAAUUC
rnacentral:rRNA from 1 species